rnacentral:rRNA from 1 species
GAUGAACGCUGGCGGCGUGCCUAAUACAUGCAAGUCGAGCGAACAGACGAGGAGCUUGCUCCUCUGACGUUAGCGGCGGACGGGUGAGUAACACGUGGAUAACCUACCUAUAAGACUGGGAUAACUUCGGGAAACCGGAGCUAAUACCGGAUAAUAUAUUGAACCGCAUGGUUCAAUAGUGAAAGACGGUUUUGCUGUCACUUAUAGAUGGAUCCGCGCCGCAUUAGCUAGUUGGUAAGGUAACGGCCUACCAAGGCGACGAUGCGUAGCCGACCUGAGAGGGUGAUCGGCCACACUGGAACUGAGACACGGUCCAGACGCCUACGGGAGGCAGCAGUAUGGAAUCUUCCGCAAUGGGCGAAAGCCUGACGGAGCAACGCCGCGUGAGUGAUGAAGGUCUUCGGAUCGUAAAACUCUGUUAUUAGGGAAGAACAAAUGUGUAAGUAACUAUGCACGUCUUGACGGUACCUAAUCAGAAAGCCACGGCUAACUACGUG